rnacentral:lncRNA from 1 species
CUCAGCCAAAACCACUCGAAGGGUAAGGCGGUUGUGGGGUCUUCUAGAGAGGGGGUCGAUUCUGAGGGUUUAUGAGGAAAAAGCCUAUUAGAAGAUUUGGGUUAACAUGGAGCUGUAUUGAGAGGGGAAUAAGGCGUAACGCUUUUCGCUUAAGGCGAGUUGGAGAAGAAUUCACCACACGAGGAGCGUGGUUGGGUUAGCCAAAUUUUAAAGGGAGCGUUGUAUUUUGACCCUCUGUGUUGAAUUGAUGUUCCAAUAUUUCUGCGUUAGUGGCUAAAAAGGGGAGUGAGCUAUUAGGUCAUGGGUUCGGGGGAGAGAAUUCUCUUGACCCCUGAUACCUUUGUGAAGAUAUUUUGGGUUGAGGAGGGUAAAAAAUCCCGGUUUGACUACCCUAAUGUAGGCAGUCCCUCCGGUCGGUCCUUGUGGGAGUUACUUGAGAAAGGAGAGACGUGGAAUGGGGUGAGGCCAGUGUAACAAGCAAAAAUUAUGUGCAAAUAACUAAUCCUAUUCUUAUUCUUUGCCACUCAGUGAUGCCAUUAAAGAGGACAGUAAGUAUGAGCCUUCACCGAGCCAGUGUUUGGGCAUUGGGAUGGAGAAAUCAAUUGAUACCGGUACAUAUUCAUGCAAGUCUAUCAUGCCUAUGCUCAUUCCAAUGGCUCGGGGUCCAUUCCCUUUACUUGGUCCUACCUGUUGUUUAAGGAAUCAAGGUUAAAAAUCCCCCAGGACUUGUGACCCAAGCAUAGGAGACCCCAUAGCUAAUAACACUUUAAGCCGUUUUGAGGGCCAAAAGGAAAGUAAGAAAAAAAAGAGAAAGAGGAGGCAGAGAGUUAAGGAUAAGCUGGUGUGAGGGGAUAGCAGGGCCAAGAGAGGCUCAAAGUUGCAGGCUGCUUUGGAACGGCUAGAGGAACAAGUGGCACUUUCAUCACGCGAACGAUUGCUCGUUUAAGGACCCUGGGAGCAUGCAAAGAGGAACACGAACUGCUUAGAGGAAAAAUGAUGGCGAUGAUGAUGAGAUCUCAAGUGGCUGUGGGAGGUGAUGAUAAGGUGAGGUGAUGAGGACGAUCUCGAGGGAGAUGACGAGAUGAUAACAUCUAGAGUUUAGACUAUUUUGUUUUUAUUUUUUUCUGAUGCACUUAUCUGUCAGUCAAAAUCUUUGCUUUAUUUCUUUUUAAACUGGAUUUUAUCUUUCUUAGAUGUUUUUUUUGAAUGAUUUUAGAUGUUAACUUGUUAACACUUGGAUGGAUGCAACGGUUUUUUUCAAGUCUUUUUGAGUUAUGUCUCAUAUGUUUUUAUGGAGUCCCACUGAUUAUUGAGACAGUUGUUUUGUAUCCAAUUCAUAGUGGAAUUCAUCCUAAACAGGUCAGUUUUUCUGUUCCAUUAUUACAGCUUAUAAAUUUUCGAUUCCAAGUUGAGUAUACUCUUGUUUUUCUGAAAUGGAUGUUUGAGUUUUUUUACUUUCGAUAAACCAUUUGCGCUCUUUUAUGUCAUUUGAAAUCAUAUGAUGAGAGACUUUGCUUCAUAGAAUCUACCUUGAACUAAGUGAAAGGAAUGGUUGAUUCACCAUUAUUAUAUGAUGAAUUAUAAUUCUUGUCAUAAACCCAUCGUACGAGAGAUUUUUACAAUUGUUGUGCACUAACAUGCCAUAUACAUCUUAUGUAUUUCUCUUGCGCAUCGCUAUCCUAAUAAUGUGGAAGAUUGUACAUGCAUUGUGAGUUUAAUGCCAAAUAAUCACUUUUUCAGAUUGAUUUACGUUUAAUUCAAGAAAUACUUUUAAUCUUCCAUUCAAUGAUAAGCUUCAAUACUCUUUGAUUUUGAUUUGCGUUUUGAGUAGUAGUUGGAAGUUAUUGACACCUUUAUAUAUUCUUGAGGUUUUGACUUGAUGUUUAUCCGGAUUCUAGGUUGAAGCCGUUCACUUUCUCUCGAGCAGUUCAUUUUUAUUUUUUAUCUGAUAAUUGUGUACAUAUGAUGAUGAAAUGGAUGUCAAUGCUAAGUAUGCAUUGCUUGUAAGCUACGAAGUUGAAAAAAAAUAGUAGUUAAAGUGGAAGGAGUUGAAAAGUCAUAGUGUUGUUUUGAAAAAGUGAAAGUUGAAGUGUUAUAUUCUUGUCACAUCAUAACACGGAUGCGCAUGCAACGUGAUGAAGUUCUUUUCAAUAUUUUGUGCUUUCCCCAUUUCCGCCUUCGUCCACAUAGCCUUGGUGUAUUCGGAGCACAUUUAGUCAUUAAUUUCAGUUGGGUAAAAGUCCUACUGUCAAACCCUCUAGUUGUUAUUUGAAUUGUGAAUAUGCUUUUAUGAAUUUAUGCCAAGACCGAUACACUUACGAUUUAGGCGGUUUUUUUGAAGAUGGGAAAUACUAACUCGUUCUGCAUGUCUCAUUCAUUAACUCUAUUGAACGAGCUUUUCAGUUGAGAGAACCUUCUGUGUGGUUCACAUUUUUUUUGAAUUGAGUGUAUGUUUCUUGUGAGUGCUUGGAUUGAAGCCUAAGAUAAUACGUGUGUGAGU